rnacentral:rRNA from 1 species
CGCCUCUUGCAAACUAUAAGAGGUCUAGCCUGCCCAGUGACCCUGUUCAACGGCCGCGGUACCCUAACCGUGCGAAGGUAGCGUAAUCACUUGUCCUUUAAAUGAGGACUAGUAUGAACGGCACCACGAAGGUUAAACUGUCUCCCUUUUCUAAUCAGUGAAACUAAUCUCCCCGUGAAGAAGCGGGGAUAAGAUCAUAAGACGAGAAGACCCUAUGGAGCUUUAAAUAUUAACAACAACUGUACUAUUCUAUAGCACACUAUGAUUGUUAAUUUUAGGUUGGGGCGACCACGGAGCAAAAACUAACCUCCUUGUUGAAUUACCAAGCAAGAAACCACAAUUUUAAGCACCAUCAAACUGCCAUCCAUUGACCCAAUAUUUUGAUCAACGAACCAAGUUACCCUAGGGAUAACAGCGCCAUCCACUUCAAGAGUUCAUAUCGACAAGUGGGUUUACGACCUCGAUGUUGGAUCAGGGUACCCAAGUGGUGAAGCCGCUACUAAAGGUUCGUUUGUUCAACGAUUAAAACCCU